CCUACGGGAGGCAGCAGUGAGGAAUAUUGGUCAAUGGACGCUAGCCUGAACCAGCCAAGUAGCGUGAAGGAUGACUGCCCUAUGGGUUGUAAACUUCUUUUAUAUGGGAAUAAAGUGCUGUAUGUAUACUGCUUUGCAUGUACCAUAUGAAUAAGGAUCGGCUAACUCCGUGCCAGCAGCCGCGGUAAUACGGAGGAUCCGAGCGUUAUCCGGAUUUAUUGGGUUUAAAGGGAGCGUAGGCGGGUUGUUAAGUCAGUUGUGAAAGUUUGCGGCUCAACCGUAAAAUUGCAGUUGAUACUGGCAGCCUUGAGUACAGUAGAGGUAGGCGGAAUUCGUGGUGUAGCGGUGAAAUGCUUAGAUAUCACGAAGAACUCCGAUUGCGAAGGCAGCCUGCUGGACUGUAACUGACGCUGAGGCUCGAAAGUGUGGGUAUCAAACAGGAUUAGAUACCCUGGUAGUC
rnacentral:rRNA from 1 species